GACGAACGCUGGCGGCGUGCCUAAUACAUGCAAGUUGAGCGCUGAAGGUUGGUACUUGUCCCAACUGGAUGAGCAGCGAACGGGUGAGUAACGCGUGGGGAAUCUGCCUUUGAGCGGGGGACAACAUUUGGAAACGAAUGCUAAUACCGCAUAAAAACUUUAAACACAAGUUUUAAGUUUGAAAGAUGCAAUUGCAUCACUCAAAGAUGAUCCCGCGUUGUAUUAGCUAGUUGGUGAGGUAAAGGCUCACCAAGGCGAUGAUACGUAGCCGACCUGAGAGAGUGAUCGGCCACAUUGGGACUGAGACACGGCCCAAACUCCUACGGGAGGCAGCAGUAGGGAAUCUUCGGCAAUGGACGAAAGUCUGACCGAGCAACGCCGCGUGAGUGAAGAAGGUUUUCGGAUCGUAAAACUCUGUUGGUAGAGAAGAACGUUGGUGAGAGUGGAAAGCUCAUCAAGUGACGGUAACUACCCAGAAAGGGACGGCUAACUACGUG
rnacentral:rRNA from 1 species